rnacentral:lncRNA from 1 species
GGUAUGUGACGAGGGAGAAAUUAAGGUGUCAUUUAUCCUAGGCCAUUAUUGGCCAUGUGUCCAUUCACAGCAUCACAGGAUGUCAGCUCUGGCUGCCAACUUGGAGGAUUUGUAGUCAGUGCCCUCAGUGUACAGAUGAGGGAUCUAAGGCUCCAAGAGGGGAAGUGACUUGUUCAAAAUCAUCUAGGUAUCAUUUGCAGAGUCAAGAUUCGAGUCCUGAUCUCCUGACCCUUAAGCCAGACUUCUAUUGAAUUUGUUGCAUUCUUCUUCUUCUUCUUUUUCCUUUUGUGAGGAAGAUUGGCCCUGAGCUAACAUCUGUUGCCAAUGUUCCUCUCUUUUAUAUGUGGGACGCUGCCACAACAUGGUUUGAUGAGCGGUGUGUAGGUCUGUGCCCAGGAUCCGAACCUGUGAACGCCAGGCUGCCAAAGUGGAGUGUGCGAACUCAACCACUAUGCCACCAGGGUGCCCUGCAUUCUUCUUUUUAAGAGCCCUAGCACCCCCUCCCAGGAAAGCAACCCCACCAUAGAGAGUGCGGUUGGCUUCCCUGCCCAGCGACAUCCAUCUACUCACAGCGCCGUCUCCUCCUCCUGGCACCGGGCCGGCUGCUCUGCGAGCCGCGCUGCCCUGAGGUCCUUUUCUACCCUGCGGCAGUUCUUCCAAGCUCUGGCACCAGGAAGGGUCUGUGAUUGGGAGGAGGCCUCUCCCAUGGGCUGAGCCUGAGGCUGCCUGAACCUGCCUCGCCGAGGCCGGAAGUCACAGGAAACUCCGCUGGUAGAUUUCUGCUGCUCUGGAAUGAGUGAUUCUGACAGAUGGAAGCCCGGGACCCCGCUCAGCGCAUCACUCCUCUGGAUUCCUUCUGCGUCUGGGCUUCCUCGAACACACACUCGAGGCUUUCGUUUUUGUUCUGAUUUGAUUUAUUAGUGUGAUUUGAUCCUUUGUUCUGCUUUUGUGCAUUAAAAGUCCUCUCUAUUGUCCUGACUGCUCAAAGUCACGCUGGUACAUGUUUAUCUGUCUAAGGUCUUGUGUAGUUUCAGUAUCUGUUAACUUGCAUCUGCUACAUUACGGGGAAAGUAAUUGCCCAAGUAAUGCUCACACUGGAGGGGGUCCAAAGACUAA